rnacentral:lncRNA from 1 species
GCCUACGAUUUAUUUCGACCCGCACAAGAUAUUGAGAUAUGAUCUUAAAUUUUUUUAUUUUAUUUUUAGAUUAUAUGCAUGACUUUGAUCCAGGACUCGAAUAGAUAUAGAAUAGAUCAAUUGCUUGUGGGGUUAAAGGGUUUAACCUAAAUCCAUUUUCACUGCUAUUUUAAAAUUAUUUUGAAAUCUAUACAUACUAAUCUACCUAUUUUCUAAUAAACUUAUCCCCUUAUGGAUGAGGAUAA